UGGGGAAGAGCUGCUAAGGCACAGAAAGGACCAUUAAGCUGCUGAAGACCCAGAAGCUGUUCAAUGAAAUCACGAGGAUGGGCUGUCAAAGAAAAAUCAGGCUCUCAGGACAAGGACAGUGCCCAGAAAGUUAACGCUGACAAGAGAGAUGUUUGCCCAAGAAUUGUGGUGAAGCAUUUUAGACCCAGA
rnacentral:lncRNA from 12 species